UGAUGGAGUGCUUGCACUCCUGAGAGUUAGCGGCGGACGGGUGAGUAACACGUAGGCAACCUGCCCUCGAGACUGGGAUAACUACCGGAAACGGUAGCUAAUACCGGAUAAUUUAUUUCGCAGCAUUGUGGAAUAAUGAAAGACGGAGCAAUCUGUCACUUGGGGAUGGGCCUGCGGCGCAUUAGCUAGUUGGUGGGGUAAUGGCUCACCAAGGCGACGAUGCGUAGCCGACCUGAGAGGGUGAACGGCCACACUGGGACUGAGACACGGCCCAGACUCCUACGGGAGGCAGCAGUAGGGAAUCUUCCGCAAUGGGCGAAAGCCUGACGGAGCAACGCCGCGUGAGUGAUGAAGGUUUUCGGAUCGUAAAGCUCUGUUGCCAAGGAAGAACGUCUUCUAGAGUAACUGCUAGGAGAGUGACGGUACUUGAGAAGAAAGCCCCGGCUAACUACGUGCCAGCAGCCGCGGUAAUACGUAGGGGGCAAGCGUUGUCCGGAAUUAUUGGGCGUAAAGCGCGCGCAGGCGGUUCUUUAAGUCUGGUGUUUAAACCCGAGGCUCAACUUCGGGUCGCACUGGAAACUGGGGGACUUGAGUGCAGAAGAGGAGAGUGGAAUUCCACGUGUAGCGGUGAAAUGCGUAGAUAUGUGGAGGAACACCAGUGGCGAAGGCGACUCUCUGGGCUGUAACUGACG
rnacentral:rRNA from 1 species